GAUGAACGCUGGCUACAGGCUUAACACAUGCAAGUCGAGGGGAAACGACGGGGAAGCUUGCUUCCCCGGGCGUCGACCGGCGCACGGGUGAGUAACGCGUAUCCAACCUGCCUCUGACUGAGGGAUAACCCGUCGAAAGUCGGCCUAAUACCUCAUGGUAUCGUCUGCGGGCAUCCAACGACGAUUAAAGAUUUCAUCGGUCAGGGAUGGGGAUGCGUCUGAUUAGCUUGUUGGCGGGGUAACGGCCCACCAAGGCUACGAUCAGUAGGGGUUCUGAGAGGAAGGUCCCCCACAUUGGAACUGAGACACGGUCCAAACUCCUACGGGAGGCAGCAGUGAGGAAUAGUGGUAAAUGGGCGAGAGCCUGAACCAGCCAAGUAGCGUGCAGGAAGACGGCCCUAUGGGUUGUAAACUGCUUUUAUGCGGGGAUAAAGUGAGGGACGGGUCCCUCAUUGCAGGUACCGCAUGAAUAAGGACCGGCUAAUUCCGUG
rnacentral:rRNA from 1 species